GCUGGCUGAGAAGUUCAAUGGCAUGGCCCUGGCUUCUGCUGGAGGAGGUCAAAGGGGAAGCAGACACGGGAAGAGAGAUAAAGCUCAGGGAUGUCUUGGCUUCAGAACAAGCCCCACUCAUGGGAACAAAUCCAUUCCCAUGGGAACUCACCCUGUAUCACAAGAGGAGAAUCACUCCCAGCACCACGGACUCCCCAGGGAGUCACUCCCACGACCCACACGUCUCCCUCCCCUCAGGCCCCACCUCCCUACGCUGCCACACUGGGGGUCCCGUUUCAACAAGAGUUUUGCUGGGAACAGAUGCACUGACUACAUCCAGGUCGUGGAGCACACUGAGCUGGCCAGAGCAGGCUUGUGUUUUCCUCUGUGCUCCUUCCUGCUUCCCAGGAUGCAGAUGAGAUGGCAGGUGCCCCAGCAGCCCUCGCCAACCAUAAGGCAUGGAUUCCUCACCUUCGGCUCGGGGAGCACAGAGACUGAGGGCCGUGGACUCGGGGUGAGAUGGUGGCACCUCCAUCACAGACCCACAGUCUCUGUGUCCAGCCCUUCCGGAAAGAUGACAGAAAUGAAAAGUCUGCCUUAUGGAAGACAAGGCACCGACGCUUUCCCUGACAGCAUCAUCAUCACCCAACUAGGGCAGCUGACCCGCGUCUUCCUCACGACGUGGAAUGGUUUGAGUCAAGGGUUUUCAUGGCCAUGAGCCACGUGGAGGCUGUGCCUUUUGUUUCCUGUGAGAAAUCUUCAACCAGCGCCACUCUCAGCCUCCCCUCUGCCAGCGCUUCUGUGGCUGCACCUGCAUUCGUGGGCUGUGGCUGCGAAGCACAGGAAUAAUUGAUGGCUCUGGGGCACUUUGCUGGGCUGCUUCCAGAAAAGUUGACCCCUCCCUGCAAACCAGCACUGCCCAGCAUUCUUGUCCCGCCAAGCCUGACUGUGAGCUGUUGUGACGUUGCCACUUUGCUCGGAAAGGACCCCUUACCUUUUAUUUCCCUUGCAUUUCUUUCAAUUCUACCAUUGACCAUUUCUCAUACGUGUGGUCAUCAUUGUAUUUCGCCCCCAUUUUGUGAGGUUUAGUGUAUUCUUAAAGUUUCCUGGGUUUUGAUGAGAGCAUAUUCUGUCAUUAUAUUUAACAGGUGUUUUCCCCAGCUUGGAUGUGUUUGGCCAUUAGCUUCUUUUCUGCUAUUUUACACUAGUCUGUUAUUCUUCACUACAAAAGGACUCUGCCGAGGGUCCCCAUGCUCCCCAUGCUUCGGGGUGUGAGGUAGCAGGGGAAGGCAGGUGUCCUUCCUUCUUUGAAGUGCGGGUUGGGGCAGGACAGCAGACCCUGGGGUCACUGCUGAGGAGGGGAAGGAUGGGAUUAGGACUGUUCUCUUCCUGGCCUCAUGAGCUCCCCCAGCUCCUUCUGGUGGUUGGAGAAGAAACCUCCUGAUUGUCACGGAGAGUGAGUUUGUCCGUGGAGCUUUUCCUGCACGGCUCACAUAGAACGGGCUGUGAGGUCCCUCCACUGAGCAGCACGUGCCAGGCCGGGUGCCCACGACUGUUGGGAAAACCCAGGCCUGUAUUCCAGGAAGCAAAGGUCUUUAGAUGAAGGUUUUAAGAAUGAAAAUUAACCCACAGAAUGGUGAGGUCAGUUGGAGCCUGGAUUCCAUGGGGUAAGACAGCCACAGCCAGGUGGGCAUCCUGCUCCUUCCCUUUCCCCUGUCCCUGCCCACCGGCCAUGCCCUAGAGUAGGGGCACACUCGGACCCCAGCCCAGCGCCCACCCAUGCUGCCUGCAGGCCUGCGAGGUCCCACAACCCCUUGGCAUGCAGCGACAGCCCGGGGCCAGGUGUGGGUGAGGCUUGGGAUUUCCUGGCACAGCUGACUUCAUGUUGUGGCCUGGCAGCCUCGGGUGGUGUCGGCAGAUGCAGGAAGCCACGGGCGCAGCUCCCUGCCUGUCCCGGCCGUGGGUGCUAAUGCAGAGUGGGUUCUGUGGCUGGUCACACAGGCAGCCGGGUGGGUGCAGGUCAUCCCGGGGAUGGCCUUGCACUGUCUGAUCCCCGGGGAGGGGAGGGUCUUUUCGCUGACCACGCUGUUUGCUGCGUGCUUUUUGUUUGCCAAGGGCUGCAAUGUUUGUCGUCUGCCGCAGUGUUUGCUGCCGGGUGAAGAAUCGCUGGCCCUGUGUUGUCACCUGGGCCCACCGUGACAAGGUCCCCACCUCUGUUGUGGGACUCGGGGGCAAAGUUCCCUGCUGUUCACGCUGCAAGUGACAAGGGCCUUGGUCUCUGAACCAGGAGCCUCUGAGUCCUGCCCCACAGGGCUGAGCCCUGGCUGGGAGCAAUGUUCUUUGGGGGAGACAGCAGCUUCCUCACUUCCAUGUACAGCCAGAUGCCACGGGAUGUGGGGAGUGCGACAGGGCCGUGGGGAGUGUGACAAGGCCUUGGGGAGUGUGACAGGGCUGUGGGGAGUGUGACAGGGCCUUGGGGAGUUUGACAGGGCCGUGGGGAGUGUGACAGAGCCGUGGGGAGUGGGACAAGGCCGUGGGGAGUGGGACAGGGCCGUGGGGAAUGGGACAGGGCCGUGGGGAGUGUGACAGGGCCAUGGGGAGUUUGACAGGGCCGUGGGGAGUGGGACAGGGCUGUGGGGAGUGCGACAGGUCUGUGGCGAGUGUGACAGGGCUGUGGGGAGUGCGACAGGGCUGUGGGGAGUUUUGAAAGGGCCAUGGGGAGUUUUGACAGGGCUGUGCGGAGUGUGACAGGGCUGUGCGGAGUGUGACAGGGAUGUGGGGAGUGCGACAGGGCUGUGGGGAGUGUGACAGGGCUGUGGGGAGUGUGACAGGGCUGUGGGAAGUGCGACAGGUCUGUGGCGAGUGUGACAGAGCUGUGGGGAGUGCAACAGGUCUGUGGCGAGUGUGACAGAGCUGUGGGGAGUUUUGACACGUCUGUGGGGAGUGCAACAGGGCUGUGGGGAGUGUGACAGGGCUGUGGGGAGUGCGACAGGGCUGUGGGGAAUGUGACGGGGCUGUGUGGGAGCAGGUGGUCCUGUGGGGCAUCCCGGGGUCUGUGCUCAGGCUGUGGGAGGUGGGGCUGGCAGGGGAUCCUGGAGAAACACCUUUGGGGGCUCAGGUUUGGUGGAGCUCCCACUUCCACAGUGGCUCUGAGUGGGGCCUGAGCAGGUUUUCCUGGCAGUGGCUGAGGGUGGGUGGGCCUGGUAGGUACUGGGCUGCUCAGAAGCCAGCCAGCUCCAUGUUGCCCACCUCAGCCUCCCAGGCUUCUCAGGGCCCAGCUGUGCUCUGUCCCUGGGGCCCUUCCCUCCCCGGACACUGCUCACCCCUGGCAAGGGCUCUGCCCUGGGACACACCCUGCUAGACCCUCAGAUCUGAUCCCAGCCCUUCCCAUGUGACUCCCUGGGUGCUCCCAGAUGACUGGGAUGUGGGGAAGGAUCAAAGAGCACUUUGGUUGUCUCUGUAACUCUUCUAGUGAUUAGAUAAGGGCUGGAUUUAAGGAUUACUUCUGCAAUGCAAAUAGAUGAAAGGAACAAGCUAAAUAACAAACUCUUCCCAUUCCCAGAACAAAGUCAGCUCUGGCCUGGUUCCACGUGCCCUGUCCAGCACGUCCCCCAAGCGCAGGCAUGGGCCCCCGGACCAGCCGCGGACCCCUCCUCGCGCUUUGCAACGCCUCACAGCUGGCCCCGCACCCCUGGGGCAGGACCACUCCCUCUUCUUAUUCUUCUCUGUGUCACCUUCCCAGACUCUGCACAUAGUCGGCGCUACAUAAAUGGUGGCUGCAAAAAGGAGACGAGCAGCAGAGCAAUGCCCCAGGGAACAAGAGGGGCGCUGUUGCCAAGGCCAGGGCCAGGGUAUCUGCCCUGAGGCCUGAGCCCCACACGACCCAGGGCUCCAGAGCCCCAUGGCCCAUCUCACUGCUGGGGCUGAACCCCCAGGGCCCCUGCAGCCACUGCCUCAGGAGGUCAGGUUGGGGUGUGGAGUAGGAGGGACGGGUGUUUCCAGGGAAUCCCUGUGUAGGUGGGAUCCAGAGGGCUUGAAACCCUCAAGCUACCAGCCAGCUCCACGCCUAGGACAGGCCUUAUUAGAGUUCAGGAUCUGCCAGCUCCCAGGGGCAGCCUCAAUGUCCGGGGUGGAUGGGGGUUUCUGUGGGUUCACUUCUGCCCCCAGCUGGGAUGCCUGGAAGGAGAGCUCAGGGACAGUGUGGCCAGACCCUGACCCAGACAGAAGAUUCUGUCUGAGAGACCGGGGACCUUCACAGAGGGACAGAGGCCCAGGAAGCAGCGGCUGCUGCUGUAAGCCUACGGCGAGAGCCAUGGUCACAGAAGACCCACUUGUUGCCAGGCGUUUUGCCUUCACAAUGGCAAAGUCUCCCAGUGGCCCAGGAGAAAAGGGAAUGCUCAUUCCAUUCUGCCUGCCAGAAAACAGAGGCUGAGGCCCAGAGGCUCAGGCAACCUCCCCAGGUUCACCUCAUUUGGAAACAGCCCCUUCCCAUCCCCGGUUGCUGCCGCAAUCUUCUAAGGGGACUUCCUCAGAGGUCAUUAAAUGCAUUGAAAACUGGUUCUGGUCCUCGACCCUAAGCUGCUGGAGGAGGGGGUGUGGGAGCAGAUUCGGGGUGCACCUGUGUGUUCAGGUGAAGGCGGAGGGAAAUUAGUCAUGGAGCUAAGCUGAACCACCUGCUGGGCCCCAGGCAGGCAAGGCCCUGUGGGCAGGUGGGAAGCCAGAGGCCGCCUCUCACCCCGGGGAGGGGCAGGGGCUGGAGUGACGGUGCAGGGUGAGAUUUUGGCCAGGCACAACUCCAUCCAUCCCUGCAUCCCCAGGAAGCCACAGACACCCAGGUUCUGAGAGCCCGGCUCUCGAAUGUCCCUCCUCCCCCGACCUCCUUCGGUGCCCCUGGCCAUGCCAGCCCUGAGCAUGAAGCCUUCAACUUUCCCACGCACCCACUUCCACUCUCCAGGGCUGAGGAGCAGGAAGGAGAUGGCUUGGAGGGGUGAGCCCCUGUCCUGUUCUCAGAGGGUCACAGCUACUCACUACCUGCUACGAAGACAGGGAAGGGUGGGAGCCGUUCUAAACCAGCAUCAGUGCAUGCCACAAAAUAGAAGCCGUGCAUUACAAACUAGAAACGAGGGCUUGGUUGCAGGCACCUUCCCUAGAGACCCUGGCUGAGCAGAGGCUGGGGUCUGGCUGCGCUGCUCUGACGGUGUGCACGGGCGGGCUAGGCACUCGCCCUGAGUCCCAGAAAGAGGAGCCCACAGAUACAAAACUUAAAGGAUGUGUUAUUUUAUUUUUUAAUUUAAUUUUUGUUUUUUCAAAAGCAUCAAAGUCAUUGUGAUUGGAAGGAAUGCGCAAGUUGGUCUGGGGUGCUGUCCCUGGGCGCCGAACCAGCCGGGGACAUGGCCCCUGGAGAGCUGCCGACCCCGGGGCUAGGGGAGUGGUCUUGCGAGGAGCCUUUGCUUCCCACUCGCCGGCCGCCCCGCGGGGCCCUCCUGCCACCAGGUGGCGCUUCUCGGCCAGCCCGGGCCGCAGGACCUGCAGUCUCGUUUCCCCAGGAAUGGCGACGGCCCUGUUAUUCCCAUCACAAUUUUACAGGUCAGAAAAGGAGACUCGGAGUGCAUAUAUAGCAACUUGGAGAAAGUCGCAAGGGACGAAGGACCCUUCCCCGGACACAGGAACCUUCUGGGGGAUGGGGACAGGGACUCAGGUGCAGAGAAAACCAGAGCUGCUACCGUGGGGACAGAAAGGGAGUCUACCCAGAGACAGCAGAGGCAGGAGCUGCCCCCCCUCUUUGCCCCCAGUGGCCCCGAGCGAGGGGUUGCCACCACCUAGAGCCUGGGGACCAGGGGCCAGUGCCUGGGGACGGAGGCCGUGGUCGAGACAGGCGAGGGAUGUGGCGGAGACAGGGAGGCCCAGGUCGGCUGGCACAGGGCAAGGAGCAGGCGAGCCGACCCCAGGGCCUUGCCCUUGUCACGCCCCCUGCCAUGUUCCUGCUGGCCCCCUUCCUGUUCUGUGAGGUCAACACGCAGGAGAAAGGGGCAGAAGGGAAGGUCUCCCCACACCGAGGGCUCUGCCCGCUUGGGCCAGGGGUUGGGGGGUGGUCAUGGCACCAGGGCUGCUCUGAGCUACAGCCCCGAGGGGGGGCCGGGCGAUGCCUCCUCCUCCGUGCCAGCCUGUGCCGGGGCCCCUAGGAACCCCCAAGUCCCUGCCUGUGACCUCUGCAGAGCCCAGCAGGCGCCUCCCCGCCCUCGGCCACAGGCUCGGAGCUCACGGCCCCCAGGGGGCGCUCAAGGACUGCUCAUCUGCGCUUCUGCCGCGGGCAGCUCUGACCCCUCCCGCUGCGCUCCUCCAGCCGCAUCCCUGCAGCCUUGGGCCCUACUGGCCCGGGGGAGGAGGCACUGCGCUUUGGGGAGGAAGAGAGACUAAAGGGGAGACCGAGAACCCCGGGUCAGGAAGCGGAGAGCUAAAACGACAACCGUGGGUCAGCGGAGGCCGGCAACUUCAUUUCAUGACCUCUGGCCUCCAAAGCAGCUCUGCAAAGUGGUCAAUGCUCCUCUCGUUGUGUAGAUGAAGAUACUGAGGGCCAGGGAGGCUGUGGACUGCCUGAUGUCACACGACUGGUGGGGCGGCGGGCGGGUCUGUCCCCAGGCGAUUGUCCUCGAGGCACACGGCGGGGCAGAGCUUGGAAGCGGCCGAGGUGGGGGUCCCUGGGUGUGGAUGUAGUGACCCCGGAGCCACGUGGAGCCACCUUCAGACCCAGAGCUGAAGCAGGAGGGUGACCGGUAGAGCAAGGCCGUGCACACCCCCGUUGCAGAAUUGAAAACGCGCCUCAAAAUAAAACCCCGUGUUUCACAAGAA
rnacentral:lncRNA from 1 species